UUUUACCAAGCACAUAACCACCAGUGCCAAGACAUCUUUUUUAAAUAAUGUAGAGUUAAAAUUGGUGGCCAAGUUACACGCUAUUGAGCCGCCAAAGCUGGCUGCAGGUAACGGUAAGGUUACUAUGUGCUGUUAUCAGUGAGGCUGUAGGGAGAAGUGGUUUGUUGCGAGCAAGGUGGUACUUCCUUUGAGUUUGCAAAGAAAGGCAGAGGGACUCCUGCAAGAACACCUUGAUUGAUAGACAACAGCUAAGCUCAGGAAAGGCUAACGAAGGUGUCGCUGAUUCUCAACCUCCUAAACAGACUGAACAGCUUCCGGAUGAAAGUUCUGAUGCGUUUCUUGAUGGUUCUGUUAUGGAGAAGGUACUUCAGAGGAGAAGUAUGCGGAUGCGCGCAAUAUGCAGAGAGCCUGGCAGGAAUCGCAUCUCCUGUCCAGGGCAAGCGCUUUCGAGGGCAGUCUUGAUAUUAUCGACAACAUUGAAUCCUCUUGCUGAGUUUGCAUUCGGACCAGCGUUCUUUUCGCUCUGGAUGCUUCCACUGACGUCGUCAAGCAAGAUCGACGCAUCACAACC